AUAUUUACCUGGCAGGAGAGAUACAUGAUCCCUAAGGUGGUUUUUCCAAGGGCAAGGCUUAUCCAUUGCACUCUGGAUGCAAUAUGGGAAACUCAGCGGCAUAAUGUGUGGUAC
ensembl:snRNA U1 U1 spliceosomal RNA